rnacentral:rRNA from 1 species
UACAGAGGUCCCAAGCGUUGUUCGGAUUCACUGGGCGUAAAGGGUGCGUAGGUGGUGAGGUAAGUCUGAUGUGAAAUCUCCGAGCUCAACUCGGAAAUGGCAUCGGAAACUACCUCGCUAGAGGUUUGGAGGGGGGACUGGAAUUCUCGGUGUAGCAGUGAAAUGCGUAGAUAUCGAGAGGAACACCAGUGGCGAAGGCGAGUCCCUGGACAACACCUGACACUGAGGCACGAAAGCUAGGGGAGCAAACAGG